rnacentral:rRNA from 1 species
ACUCCUACGGGAGGCAGCAGUGGGGAAUAUUGCACAAUGGGGAACCGACUGAUGCAGCCAUGCCGCGUGUGUGAAGAAGGCCUUCGGGUUGUAAAGCACUUUCAGUCGUGAGGAAGGUAGUGUAGUUAAUAGCUGCAUUAUUUGACGUUAGCGACAGAAGAAGCACCGGCUAACUCCGUGCCAGCAGCCGCGGUAAUACGGAGGGUGCGAGCGUUAAUCGGAAUUACUGGGCGUAAAGCGCAUGCAGGUGGUUUGUUAAGUCAGAUGUGAAAGCCCGGGGCUCAACCUCGGAACUGCAUUUGAAACUGGCAGACUAGAGUACUGUAGAGGGGGUGAGAAGUUUCAGGUGUAGCGGUGAAAUGCGUAGAGAUCUGAAGGAAUACCGGUGGCGAAGGCGGCCCCUGCGCAGAUACUGACACUCAGAUGCGAAAGCGUGGGGAGCAAACAGGAUUAGAUACCCUGGUAGUGUACU